GAAAAAACUUCAUUUGACAAUUGGAGCAAUACAGAGAUGAUUACCGCCAUGACCUUUGUGCAAGGAUGACAUGCAUAAAUUGAGAGAUGAAUUCAAAAUUU